rnacentral:rRNA from 1 species
GUAGGUGGCAAGCGUUAUCCGGAAUUAUUGGGCGUAAAGCGCGCGUAGGCGGUUUUUUAAGUCUGAUGUGAAAGCCCACGGCUCAACCGUGGAGGGUCAUUGGAAACUGGAAAACUUGAGUGCAGAAGAGGAAAGUGGAAUUCCAUGUGUAGCGGUGAAAUGCGCAGAGAUAUGGAGGAACACCAGUGGCGAAGGCGACUUUCUGGUCUGUAACUGACGCUGAUGUGCGAAAGCGUGGGGGAUCAAACAGGAUUAGAUACCCUGGUAGUCCACGCCGUAAACGAUGAGUGCUAAGUGUUAGGGGGUUUCCGCCCCUUAGUGCUGCAGCUAACGCAUUAAGCACUCCGCCUGGGAGUACGACCGCAAGGUUG